rnacentral:rRNA from 1 species
UACGUAGGGUGCGAGCGUUGUCCGGAAUUACUGGGCGUAAAGAGUUCGUAGGCGGUUUGUCGCGUCGGGUGUGAAAACCAGCAGCUCAACUUGUGGCUUGCAGGCGAGACGGGCAGACUUGAGUACGGCAGAGGAGACUGGAAUUCCUGGUGUAGCGGUGAAAUGCGCAGAUAUCAGGAGGAACACCGGUGGCGAAGGCGGGUCUCUGGGCAGUAACUGACGCUGAGGAACGAAAGCGUGGGUAGCGAACAGG